AUGGUUACGCAAAAGCUGGUUUAAAAUGGCUCCUAUGUUGGCAUCUGGGCUGGGGCCUAACUACCCGUCUCCACCAUUUUCUCUACUGCCUACCCCUUCCUCUCCUCCAGGAAGACGGUAAGCUCCCGGCAUGGCUUCUGGGUGUAGUCACUGUGCCAAGCUUAAGGCUGGGCCAGUCCCACGAACUGCUCCUGCCUCCACCGGCUCACUCUACCAAGUCUGGACUUGCCACAUAUAUGCUGCUGCCUGGGCUCCCUUCAGCUUCUCGCCGGCAUCUCACUGGCUGUCAUUGCCUUUCCUUGCUUGGAGAGUUCCCUGGCAUCAAUCUCCUAUCUUCAACUUCACCUGCUCUUAUUGUCUUCCCUUUCUGAAUCUGCACGCCUCUGUCAUUUUCCAUGGAUCAAGGAGGUUAAAUUGACAAAUAACUGUUUUUGAAAGAAGAAAGGGAAAAAGGAACAACAAACUUCGCUUGGAUGUUUGGAAGUCUGCCUUCACAGAUCGCCAGGCUUUGCUGACUUAUUUAUAAAAGACUAUUUUUAUUUUGGUAUCAUCAAAGAGCUUAUUCAUGUCAAGGUUUUUAAGGUGAUAAACUGCAAAGAUGGAGGAUUAUCUACUGUGAAAGAGAGGGUUUUUUUUUUUUUUUUUUCUGGCAUGAGGAAAAGAACAUCACUGCUAGGAAAUGGUCUGGGCCUAACACCAGAUUACUCCUUUUAUGAAUUUGCAAAUCGGUAGAACUGGUCAGUCAUUGGAAAGGGGAGAUAACUCAGAGAGUAUCAAGCAUACCUGAGAAAAAC
rnacentral:lncRNA from 1 species